CAACCACCGAAGGAGCUCAUAGCAGAUCCACACAACCCAAGUGGGCCAAGAAGCUCAAGACAAGGAAGAAAAUGACGUCGUCAGAGACAGUGACCAACCUCCAAUUCUACUUCCACGACACAGUCAGUGGGGAGAACCCAAGUGCCGUCCGUAUAGCCCAAGCCACAGACACCAACAAGUCCCUCACCCUUUUCGGAGCUCUGCUCAUGGUAGAUGACCCGCUAACCGAAACGCCUGACCCGAAUUCCAAGCUCGUGGGCCGGGCGCAGGGGAUGUACGGGUCAUCCGGGCAGCAAGAGUUUGGGCUUACUAUGGCCAUGUGCUUCGCGUUCUGUGAUGGCAUUUACGAUGGGAGCUCGAUUAGUAUUUUCGGUAAGAACCCGGCUCUGAAUCUGGUUCGGGAGAUGCCGGUUGUGGCCGGAACUGGCAUUUUCCAGUUCGCCCGGGGUUAUGCAAUUGCCCGGACGCAUUGGUUUAAUAUUAUGGGCGAUGCAAUUGUUGAAUACAAUGUCACUGUUAUUCACUAGAGUUUAAACUUUGAAUACUAAUUUCUGGUUUGCUUGAUUGUUGAGGGUGAUGACUAUUUUCUUGGAUUCUAUCUCACGAGAUCUUUGUUUUAGGUGAUCGGUUUACUAAUUUUAUUAUGAUAUGUAUGUUGUGCAUUAGGCAUAAUGAGAGUAAUUAUCCCUAAUAAUCUUUUUUCUAUCUCCCUAAUUUGAUGCCAUUUUAUUUGGGUUGGUAGCCUAAAUUCUAGAUUGCAAAAUUGGCACCAAAGUCUACAACAUUAGUGCUGAUAUAUAAUUACGUGCGUGCAUGCAUGCUCAAGUCCCUUACUUCUGAUUUAGCUUCUUUUAUGGUUGCUAAUAUACAUCAGGAACUCUAACUUGGGGAAAUAAACAUGUGCAGAUACGAUCCUACAUUCCUAUUCAAAUCUCGGACUCCUAAGUCUGAGUAAGUACCGAUGGUGUUACAUCAAGAUGUUAUAAUAUGACUGAUUGACGAGUCUAAUUAUAUGUGUUAUAAACAUAAAUGGACUAUAAUUUAACAGAAAAAAAAAAACGUGAAUAGACUAUAACACCAUGCGGUAUGAUGGACACAGCCUAGUAAAUCCUUACCAACUUGAAAUUAUCUGUCCGGAUUCAUUCUUAAUGAAAAUAAGAAAAAAAAAGGGAAAAUAUCCAUUACAAAAUAAUAUAAUGAUGAUUAUAUCGGUAUGAUUAAGUAGAAUGAACCUAUCCAAAUGUUCUCCUCUAAAUAUUUUAGCACAAAAUAUAGCUUUACCUUAUUAGCUAUUAUUACUUUAUAAGACUAAUUUAUUAGCUAUAUAAAACAACGUCUUUGGUCCUUAACCCCACCAGUUCCUCGCACAACAAAACAAGAGUUAAAAAUAUGGAACGCGGUAGUUUGGUUCUUGGAUUGGCCUUGACUCUCCUAACCGUCGCGGUCACACCAACACAUUGCAGCUACCAUUCCCACACACUUCCAAAUGUCCAUCAAGAAGAAAAGGUCACGCGCCUCCACUUCUACCUCUUCGACAUCAUCAGCGGCGACAAACCUAGUGCUGUAGAAGUCGCACGUCCAUACAGGACGAAGAAUGACAGUUCCCCCACGCCGUUCGGCAGCGUGUGGGCCAUCGACGACCCUCUACGAGAGGGCCCUGAGGCCACUUCCAAAGUUAUUGGGAACGCUCAAGGGCUCUACGUGUCGUCAGUCCAGGAUGAGAGCAGGCUGGGGCUUGUAAUGUACGUUGAUUUCGGUUUUACUGAGGGUAAGUUUAAGGGGAGCUCAUUCAGCGUGUUUUCGAGAAAUCCGGUGACGGAGACGAAUCGGGAGUUGGCCGUUGUGGGAGGGAGAGGGAGGUUUAGAAUGGCGAGAGGGUUUGCGAAGCUGAAAACUAGUUAUUUAAAUGUUACCAAUGGUGAUGCCAUUAUUGAGUAUAAGGUCACUCUCAUCCACUAUUGAAUAUUGAGCAAUAUUGAUUGAUUCAUGGUUAUAAUAUCGUGCAAUUGUAAUGAAGGUGGCUUUAAUGGAAUAAUUAAAUUAAAAUAAAUCUGUUUAUAUUCAAUUUUUUUGCCGAUGUAUAAAUAGCAGAAUACCAUGUACAAAAUAGCUCAUACUCCAAAAAUUGGAGUCAAGUCUACCAUUAUAUUUGGACAACAUACGGUAACAUUUUUGUAACUAAUAUUAAUUCAUUAACGUUUUGUAAUAUAUAUAUAUGUAUGUAUUUCAAGACGGAAUAAUUACUGUGAAAUGUGAAUCCUGAUCGACCAGAGAUUUUUUGUCGUUCGAUCGGCUGCUAUGUGCUGAUAUACCAACAUUCAAAUUGCAGAAUCAUUCAUAUAUAUGUUUUCAGUGUUGGAAAAUUUAAUAUUAUUAUUAUUAUAUUAAAUUUAUUAAUUGAAUGAAAAUUAGAAGUGAUGUCUUUUGGUAGAAAGAUGUGUCUAUUCUAACGAAAGAGUUGCAACUUUUGACUCUUCAUGAAUAAUCACAUGCUUUCUAAAGAGGUAUCUCAAAUUCUAUAAACAGGGAAUCCCCUAUAGUCAUUAAAUAACUUUUCAUUGUUUACAUAAUUAUUGGAGAGUCUCACUGAGUCCAUAUAUAUGAAAGAGUUUUCAACACAAUCGUGGUUCAUGGAGCCUUGUGAUUUGGAGUGCUACUAUUACAAGGACGUGGUCGUUGUAUCUUGAGAGACAAGCGCCGAUCAACCAUGAGCACCGUAGUAGGACGUAAACUUAUCUCAAGAUUGUUAGAAAAAUUAGGUCUAAUACUAUCCCAUUAAGAGUAUCCUGCAAUACCUUACUUGUUAUUUCCAAGUAUGGGAAUCAUUAAAAGCCAAGUUUAUCCUAAACACGCUGCGGAUAACACUGUUUCAUAAUAGGACAUGGGUAGGAGAUUAUCUCCGCAUUGCUCCCAUUGAAUCAUCAACAAUUCGGUUGUCCCCUUGAGCAUAGAUCUUGGGAUCUCCAGUGAGCUAGGUUGGGUUGCCAUUAUGGCUAUUUUUAAGACGUAGGCUUUUAACUCAUUCCCCUUUAUAAUACAACUUACUCUCUAGUCAAACCUUUAAUUAAUUGGAUCCAUUAGGUCGGUGACUAUCACUUAUGGUGUAGACUUCCAUUUAUAAAAUUAUAUUUCAUUCAAGAGUAGUUGUUUUCCAACGUAAUUCCUCCAACCAUGCGUUCGGACUUGAUAAGUAAUUUGCCAACACUUGAGUAAACUCCCCCAUAUUUCAAGUAAUAUUUGUAAGAAGGUCUCCAACCUUGCCAUACCUUAAACAAUUACUCAUUACAAGUUAUGGUUUGAUUGCUAUGUUUGUUUGAGAACAAUAUUCUAUCAUGUAUGUUUUUGCGUGCAUUUUCUUUUUCAUGAUAGAAUCUUUUGGUUUGUAGUUUUACAUAAAGAAGUACAUAUGUUAACUGCUUCCAAAUGUAGUGCAAGUUAGUUUGAUUCAAAAGAUGCCAACCUGUAACCUUUCACCAUUAUUUUGUUCGUUUUGUCUUAUGCCUUGUGUAGAUGGUAUAGUUAUAGUUAAUUGAACUAAAUAACCGUUAUAAGUUUAUUGGUUUAUUUGCUAUAUUUUUUUUUUUUUGUCAAAGAGCACAUAGUAUUAAAUACGAAUUGAAAUGUUUACAUCAGACGCAAGAGUGUUGAACAACCACUCAGGCUCCAAAUCAUCCCAGGAAUACGCACCCCUCAUACGGGUGACAUAAGCUGCCACAAGAUGCGCGGCCUCAUUACAGGCACGAGGAGUGUAACUAAUCGUCAAAGAAACUACUUGUUGCUGAAGAAGAUUAAUAUCCCACAAAAUAGCGUCCAUAGUUGCAUCAGGUUGCAACUUUCCAUGAACCAUAUCCACAAGAACCUUUGAAUCCGUUUCCACAUGAACACUAUGAAAACCCCUAUCCACCGCAGCCAUUACAGCCAGCCGAAGAGCCUCGGCUUCCACCAUAAAGCUAGAACCGCAGAACACCUUCCCCACACCGCCAGCACCUUUAAAUAUACCUGCAAAAUCUCUAGCAACCCACCCAUAUCCUCCCACACUAGUACGAUUGCACCAGGCACCAUCACAAUUUAUUUUUAUCGUCCCAAACGGAGGCUUUACCCACCCAUUCGCAAUUGUGCCAUCCCCAAUGCACCCAGAACUAUUGUCCGAGGAAAAAUCCUCAUCACUUUCCACAAUCUCCAUCCAUUGCUGCCGUAGUAACUGUAGCGCCACAGUAGGUUCCACCACAACCUUCUCAAACACCACACUAUUACGGCACUUCCAAAUUCGCCAUAAACCACACACUACCCAACGUAUAAACGUACAAGCCUCAUCUAACUUGCCAUAUUUCGUACACAACCAAGUCCAGCACUGCAUAAAAUCGUCACCCACCACCACGUUCACAUCUAAUUGAAUCGGAGAGCCAAACCAAAAGACACGAGCAAAAGAACAUCUGAAAAAAAGAUGAACCUGUGUUUCCUCCUCACAAGCACAAAACGGGCAAUCCGUACUCAAUCUAACCCCUCGCCUUUGCAAAUUAGUGCGGACAACAAGGAUAUUCCGACAUCCUCUCCAUAUGAAAUGGCGGAGUUUAGGGGGAACCUUCAAACUCCAAAGAUCCCGCCAGACCAAAGCCAGAGUAUCAUUCGUACUAGAUUGCCCACCUCCUUUCCUCCCUAGUUCACCAUUCCUGUUCAUCUCUUGGGCUACCAAAUAUCCGGACUUCACCGAAUAGACUCCAUUACGGGUAUAAUGCCAAAUGAUACGAUCAACACACCCCAAUCGACUCAACGACAUGCUCAGAAUAAGCUGUGCUUCAUCACCAGUAAAACACCUUUGAACGAUCUCACGUUCCCAAGUUCCAUCAACGGACACCAAGUCCGCAACCAUCUGAGGCAUUUCUGGAUGUCUUGAUAAAGGCCGAAAAGUUCUUGGUGUGGGCAACCAAGGAUCCACAAUAACCUGAAUAUUGCGCCCAUCACCAACCCGCCAUCUAAUACCCGACUUCAAAAUUUUCCGCCCUUGUAAAAUGCCCUUCCAACCCCAAGAAGUUCCACGUCCCACUGAUGCCUCAAGGAAAGAUGACGUAGGAUAAUACUUAGCUUUAAGUACUUUAGCCAACAGAGACUCCGGAGCACAGAUCAAUCUCCAUCCAAUCUUAGCCAACAUUGCUAAAUUAAACUCAAUAAUGUCCUUAAAGCCAAGAUCCCCAGAGAUCUUCCUUUGCGCCACCUUUUUCCAAGCAAGCCAAUGAACACCUUUUUUCGUCUUCUGAUCCCUCCACCAAAAACGCGCUAUAGUUUGCUCUAUUUCCUUUGCCAAUUGAAUAGGCAGUUGAAAACAUGACAUAGUAUAAAUAGGUAAAGCCGCCGCAACACUUUUAAUUAGCACCUCCUUACCUGCGACCGAUAAAAAUUGUUCCGCCCAGCCAUUAAUUCGUUCAUCCAAUUUAUUCCGAACUUCUUCAAACACCUUUUUCUUCGACGCUCCAAAAUCAGCUUGUAUACCUAAAUAUUUCCCAAAUCAUUCCUGAUGUUUAAUCCCCAAAAUCUGGGGUAGAGUAGAUUUCAGCCCCGUUGAACACCCCACACUAAAAUGUACCGAGCUCUUAUCUAGAUUAAUGAAUUGUCCGGAGCCCUCAGCAUACCGUUGGAGCAAAUAUUUCACAUUAUACGCCUCAUUCUCCGUAGCUCGACAAAAUAAAACUGAAUCAUCAGCAAAAAAAACAUGUGACAAAGGCUCAGCCGAAGGAGUUACUGCCAUACCUCGAAUGCAACCCCUCCUCUCAUCAUUAUGGAUUAGAGAGGAAAAACCUUCGGCACAUAUAAGGAAUAAAAAAGGUGAUAAUGGGUCACCUUGCCGAAUGCCUCUCCUAGGCGUUAUAUAACCUGUUAUCUCUCCAUUCAUCACCACGCUAUAGGACACAGUUUGAACACACUCCAUCACCCAGUUGCAAAACACAUCUCCAAAACCCAACUUAUGCAUCAUAGCAUUCAAAAAAGACCAUUCAACCCGAUCGUAGGCUUUUGCCAUAUCCAGUUUGAGCGCCAUAAUCCAAACCCUCCUCAUUCUCAUGUUGCAUAAAGUGUAGAAGUUCAUGUACUACUAAAAUAUUAUCAGAAAUUUGCCUUCCAGCCACAAACGCUGAUUGAUUAGGACUGAUAACUUUAGGGAGAACCUUUUUUAGUCUAUUCGUAAGUACUUUAGAAAUUACUUUAUACACCACAUUGCACAGCGAAAUCGGCCGAAAAUGAGACAUCUUCGUGGGAUGAUCCACUUUAGGAAUAAGCACAAUAUUAGUGAGAUUUAAAUCCUUCAACAUUCUGCCUGAACAAAAAAAAGAUUUCACCAUACCAAUAACAACGCCCCUAACCGUCUCCCAAUGAUGUUGAUAAAAACCUGCAUUGAAACCGUCCGGACCCGGUGAUUUUGUUGGAUGCAUUUGAUAAACAGCUGUUUCGAUCUCCACAUCAGUCACUGGGCCACCAAGUAGACAAUUAUCCCGCUCGUCCACCCUAAUCGGUACGCAAUGUAGGAUCUCACCGAAAGUGGUGGGUGUAUCCAUGGUGAAUAGAGUUGAAAAAUACUCAACGGCAAUACCAUGGAUUCUACUCAUAUCCGUACACCAAACCCCAUUCUCUUCUUCCAGUCCUCGGAUGGUAUUCCGUCUUCGUCGCUUCAAGGUUUGAGCAUGAAAGAACCGAGUGUUUUUAUCCCCCUCACGCAACCAUUGCACUCUUGACUUCGUACGCCAAUAAAUUUCUUCCCUUUUAAUGGCUCGUGAAAGUUCCUCUUCCAAACCACGAAUUUUAAAACCAUCAAACACCGGUUGUUGAUACGCCUCACGAAGAACUGCCUUUAACUUACAAAUUUCCUUUUGUUCAUUCCGUGCCUCUUUUUUCUGCCAUGUCAAUAGCCCAUACCUAACUCGUCGAAGACUAUGCAAAAUGUUAAGAGCAUGGGAUCCAUCGUAAGUAUUCCCCCAGCAAGCCCUCACAAUCUCAUCACAUUUAGGAUCCAAAUUCCAACGUGGAUCAUACAUAAAACGUUUCGUGCGUCUAGGUUGGUCCACCUCUGUAGACAACACGAGCAUGGCAUGAUCCGAUCCCUCCAACACCACAUGUUUCACCACGGUUUGCUGAUAAGACUAAAUCCAAUCAUGAGUGGCCAACGCGCGAUCCAAUCAUUCCUGAAUAAACCCCUCCUCCCUUCUAUUACGCCAUGUAUACGGAUACCCUACAAAACCCAAGUCUAGCAACUUUGUUUGAGCCACAAAAGUCCGAAAGGUUCUCAUACUUGACACAGUUCUUCCAUUCCCCCCAAUUUUCUCAGAUUCUAAUAGUAAAUCAUUAAAAUCCCCCAUUACUAGACAUGGCUCCGCAAGGCUUGCUAACCGUGUCCUUAAUACCUCAAACUGUUGUGCCCGAAUGCAUGCAACCGUACUCGCAUACACAACCACCAAUCGCCACCUCAAAUUCCUUACCCCAUCCGCAAUUAAAACUUCAAUGAAGAACUCCCCAUAUUUUACCAAAACCACAUCCUUCGCAUCCUUCCAAAAAACACAUAAACCACCAGCAAUCCCCCUAGGCUCAAUAGCAUGCAUACACGACAUGCCGAGCCUUCGCUUUAGAAAACGGAACCGCCGACUAUUAUUCUUAGUUUCUAAUAAAGCCACUACCUCGGGAGAGUGGAGCCGAUUCUGCUCCACAAGAUUGGCAUCUGUCAGGUCCCUCCCAAUACCCUGACAGUUCCAACAUAUGAGUUUGAUUGCGAUCGCGGAGACCCCACGCAGGUAGCCUCCGCUUGGUCCAGAAUAGACCGUUGUAUCUUGUGCCCACGAGUGAAACCAUCAUCCAAAACCGCCAAAUCAUCUUCCUCAUCCUCACGGCCCCUUUUUCUCCUUUCCUUAGAAACAGCCUCAAUGAUGGGAAGGAGAUUGAACGGGUCCGAGUCUUGUGAAGCAAUAUAUUGGCCAACAGCCCCCUCAAUACCAGACAUUCCAGGUGCCCAGGCAAGCCCCUCUUCAACCACUUCCAUGAUUGGGAUAUUUAGAUCAAUAAUCUUACUUUGUUGCAGCGUUGACGGAUUCUCACUAGGACUCGCCCCCACUUCCGGAUGAAAGAACAACUCUAUUUGCCCCGCACCCGGAGCAACACACCCUCCUGGACCAAUAAGCCCAGCAUCAAAGGCUUUCUCCCGCUCAAGCCGUUGUCUCUCCUUCUCCUCGACAUCCAUCGCACGAUGUCCACUUAACUUCCCCCCAAUUGACCUAUCCAGAUAUCGAUCAGUAGAUGAAGAGGAAGAUACACUCCUCCCCCUUUGUCCCCGCUGUCCACCUCUUUUUAACCCAAGGCAAUUUCCUCUCAAAUCAUAGUCAGCGUCAAGGCCCUUGAACGCUACUAAUUCCCCCACCUCAACUUCGGAAACCCCAUCGCCCAUUCGUUCCUCUUUACACCAUCGAGUGACAUGGCCCACCUUACCACAGAUGAGACAAUAGCUAGGGAGCCCCUCAUACCGAAAAUCCACCCACACUGUUUCAUCAUCAGGGAAAACAACCUUUGUUCCCCGCAUAAGCGAUUCCCUCACAUCAAAAGUAAUUUUCACACGUAGAAAUCUCCCAAUACAAUCCCUACCAUCAUCCCUAUCCACCUUGACAACAGUACCAAGCACCCCUCCAAUUGCGCGCGCCACAACUUCCGUCAUAUUAAGCGGUGGGACAUUAUGAAACUGCACCCACAUUGUUACCAAAUGCAAUGGAUCAUUCCACCGCCCAUGCUUAGCCCCAUCCGCAACUAGCACCAGAUCCUCCCGGAACAACCAUGGCGUUUCUGACUCUAACACACGGUACAUGUCUCGCCGACCCACAAACCUAGCCAUGAAACGUGCCCUACCCAAAACCCUAAUGGAAACACCCUCUCUUCCUCGCCACAAACUCGUAAACUGGUCGACAAAAGCAUUAUCAUUGAUAGGUUUCACUGUGAAGACCUCCGCAACAACACUGUAGUGAAACCCUAAUAAUGCACCUUCCACAUCCUUCUUCCCAAUCUUUAGCCCACCCUUCUCCCUUUCCAAAAGAGACAAACUGCUGUCAAACUUCGUGACCAAACCCUCCAUGCUCUGCAAUCUGAUCUACACCGAACGCUGUUAACCACACCAGAGCCCGUCGCCGAUCUUUGAGUGCACUUCAGUCACACCGCACAGCAACCCGCUAAUUAGUCACAGUCUUCCAAUGUUGUUUAACGUAAAACCCUACCACACGCCGCCGCAGUCUAGGGUUUUCACACGAAAGUGUUUCUUCCGACUUUCGCGGACAAAAACCUCCUUACGAGGCACAACUUAAUUAUUGUCAUAUAGUGAGAGUUCUGGCUGUCAUGAUGUAUGUUUAUUUGCUAUAUUUGAUUAACAAAGGUUGGUUUGAGAAACUGAAUUUAUUUCUUUGUAACAAUCAUUCAUAUAUGUAUAUGUGUGUGUGUAUAUAUAUAUAUUCUAUUUUAAUAGUUACGCAUGAAAGGGCUUAUGUAUUUAUUGAAAAGUUGCAUCGUUUUAGUUGCAUGCAUGUCACCAUUUAUUUGACAAUUUUGCUAUAUAUAAUACUGAUAACAUAAUUGUCUUCUUUUAAGAAUUGAAUGUUUCUUGGCAUAUAUACUGUGAGUUUAUUCUCGUUAGUUUCUGAUUUAGGUGAGAAAUAAAUAUAUAUUUUUGUGGAUUGUAUCCAACAGUGUAAAUCUGGGUCUGUGUCAAACAUGUUAUCUCAUAAUUGAAAAGGAUUUGAUACGGAUAUGUCUCAGAAAUGCAUAACUGCAAAAACACAACCUUUCUUGUUUUAAACAAAUGAACAGACAUGGCUAUCCAAACGUCAUUGUGAUAUAUGAUAUGUCACUGCGAAGUGAGUUUCAAUUUGACAUUCUGUUGUGACAAUAAAAAUGACAUUUUAAGUCAAAACACUUGGUCUUUGGAAAGGAAAAGACUAGACACUAAAAUGUGAGAUUUUUGAAAAAAUUAUUAGACAUGAUGAUGCUUAUUAAGUAAGCAUAUGAAUGGUCAUGCAUGUUAGUCCUAAUAAGGAAAAAGUGUCUAACACUUGCCUCAAUCGUGGUUCAUUGAGUCCAUAUGAGAGUUUUCAACACAAUCGUGGUUCAUGGAGCCUUGUGAUUUGGAGUGCUACUAUUACAAGGACGUGGUCGUUGUAUCUUAAGAGACAAGCGCAUAUCAACCAUGAGCACAGUAGUGAGGCGUAAACUUGUCUUAAGGACAACGUGUCUAACACUUGCCUCAAUCGAAUUUUCAGAUUUUCUAAUCCAUUAUGUCAUGUUCAUUUAACAUUGGUUACUCAUGUGCAUACAUUAAUUUUGAUAUAUAAUUGUAUGAAUUAUUUCUUAAUUUUUUAUGUGAUUUAAUAUAACAAUUAAACCUAAUUUUUCUAACAUUCUAAGCUAUAGAAAAUUUCUUUUAUCAUAUUGAUGCCUACCUUGAAUACGUGGUCAGAGACUGAGAAUCACAAUGUGACAAUAUAAACAUUUGUCAGGCAGUGACUACUUCAUGUAUCAAAAAAUUGAUUUUUUUUUAAUAUCAACCUACCAAAAUAUACCAUUAAUUUUAUCAAACCAAAAAAAUAAAAAAAUUGUUGUAGGCCUAUUUGAUUGAACGAUCUAGGGUUUAAAGAGAGAGGGGGCCGGCUACACUUAGAGAGAAGAGAGAUUGAUUUAAUUGUGAGGUGUGUUUGAUUGACCCUAUUGUGUCUUUAUUUAUAGUAGUAUGAUGGGUAAAAAUCUUUCCCUUUAGGAUUGCAACAUUUAAUAGGUAAUCAACUCCUAAUAGGAAUAUAAGAUGCAUUCUCAUAUCUACUAGGAUUUACACAAUCACAUUCCUAUUCUAAAUAUGACUGCAACACUCCCCCUUGAGUGUGUAAAUACUCAACAAACCAUCGCAUCAGAUCUUCAGUAGACAAUGUAGAAUAGUUGAUGAAGUCAUCGGCACAACGGGUGAUCGCGAGUCUCAAAUUUAAGUGAAGUAUGCAUUUGUAGUAAAACUCACAAAAACCUUGCUAUGGUAAAACCCAAGGCAUGGGGAAAACCCAUAGACUAAGGAGAAAAGUGAGAAGUAUGCAUAAUGUCUAAUACAAACGUCAAAUAUGACGAAAGUAGUGAACUCAACGGAGUAUGAUCAUCCCAGGAUGGGUGCCUCAUUAAAACCUAGUUAGGUAGCAAAAACCCAGUGGGAAAAAUGCUCCUAAUUGUAGGAAAAAGAGUACAUUAAGAUCAUGUGAGUAUACUUCUAAAUACUCCCCCUGAGUUAGAUAUAACUUCUGAAUAAGAGAACUACAAGCGAUUCAACUCAGAUAAUUUACGUAUACCGAUUCCUUGGACGAGCUUCUGAAAUGUAGACUUGGGUAAUGAUUUGGUGAAGAGAUCGGUUAGGUUGUCCUGGGAACAGAUUUGCUUGACUUCAAUGUUCUAAUACUGCUGCUGCUGGUGUGAGUAAAAGAACUUCGACGCUAUGUGCUUGGUGUUGUCUCCCUUGAUGUAUCCCUUCUUCAACUACUCGAUACAUGCCGCAUUGUCUUCAAAGAUUGUCGUAGGAAGGUCAAUGACUGAUGUAAGACCACUAGUGCUUCAAAUAUGUCUUAUAACUUCUCUCAACCAGAAGCAUCCACGUGAUGCUUCAUGCAGGGCGAGAAUCUUAGCAUGGUUAGACGAAGUCGCAACUAGCGUUUGCUUGGUAGACCUCCAAGAUAUAGUGGUGUCUCCAACAGUAAAGACAUAGCUCGUUUCAGAAUGUGACAUAUGUGGGUAAGACAUAUAUCCAGCAUUUGCGUAACCAAUAAGGCAAGAAUCAAUCUGAGGACUAUAAAGGGUGGCAACAUUUGGAGAUUCAUGGGUAUAGAACAAGCCCAAAUCCGUUGUACCUUUGAGGUAGUGGAAAAUGUCUUUAACACCAUUCCAAUGCCUGUUUGUGGGUGCAUUGCUGUAUCUUGCCAAAAUAUUAACAAUGAAUGAGAUGUCGGGUUUAGUACACUGAGCCAAGUACAAUAAAGUCUCAAUUACACUUAGAUAAGGAACUUUGGGUUCCAAAAUCUCUUCCUCAUCCUCCUUUGGACGGAAGGGAUCUCGUUUAGAAUUUAGAGUCCGAACAACCAUGGGUGUACUCGAAGGCUUCGCUUUAUCCUCAUUAAAAUGACUCAACACCUUUUGGGUGUAAUUUGAUUGAUGUACUAGAUCAGAACAAUGCUCGAUCUCCAGGCCGAGACAAUAUCGAGUUUUCCCAAGAUCCUUCAUCUCAAAUUCUGAUUUCGAGUGUGCAACAAUUUCCUCAAGCUCUGCAGGAGUCCCAAUGAGGUUCAUGUCAUUGACAUAAACUGCAACGAUUGCAAAUCUAGAAUGUGACUUCUUUAUGAAAACGCAUGGGCAUAAUUCGUUGUUCACAUAACCCUAACUUGUCAAAUAUUCACUCAGACGGUUAUACCACAUCCUCCCAAAUUGUUUCAACCCGUAGAGUGACAUCCUCAACCUAAUUGAGAAAGUGUUUCAUGGUCUAGAACUAUUUGAACCAGUCAAUAGAAGUCCUUCUGGAACUUUCAUGUAAAUUUCCGUAUCUAGAUCCCCAUAAAGAUACAGUGUUACCACGUCCAUAAGUUGCAUAUUCAGUUUUUCAGAAACUACCAAACUGAUUAGGUAGCAGAACGUUAUAAUGUCCAUUAUGAGGGAAUACGUCUCCUCGUAAUCAAUCCCAGGAUGCUGAGACAAGCCUUGCGUUACAAGGCGUGCUUUGUAUCACACUAUUUCAUUCUUUUCAUUAUGCUUCCUCAUGAAAAUCCACUUGUAGCCAACAGGCUUCAUGCGUUGUGGUGUAGGAACGAUAGGUCCAAACAUUUUACAUUUCGCGAGCGAAUCGAGUUCGACCUGGAUUGCUUGUUUCCAGUUUGACCAAUCGGUUCUACGUCGACAUUCAUUGACGAAACGUGGUUUGAUGUCAUCGCUAAGAAUGAUAUUAGUAGCUACUGAGUAUGCGAAUACAUCGUCGACGAUCAUCUCAUUCAUAUUUCAAACCUCAUCCAAUACUGCGUAGUGGACCGAAAUCUAGCGAUUCUCGGAAGGCCGACAUGUUCGUUUGAAGCAUCACUGUAAUCUAGAAUAUCCUCAUGCAUUGGAACGGAUGAGUGAGCGAUGGUCGGAUUCAAACUAGGGUCACUAGUUGAUGCUAUUUUCCUCUUCCGAGGUUAUGAAUCCUUUGAACCAAAUGGUCUGCCACAUUUCAGGGUCGGAGUAGAUGAUUGGCUAGCCACCAAUGUACCUUGCCGGGUGGAGGGUGCGGCCUCCCCACCUUCGGGGACGGUCCGGCUUUCCCAGGCGGGUUGUUGACGUAAGCGAGGUACAUCUAUCCUUGUAGGUGUGUUUGCAGUAGGUAUAUGUGAUCUUGUCACCUUUGUUAGAUCAUUAAAAGCAUUUGACAUGCUUUAAGCAAUGCUCUAAAAAUUUAUAAUUUGUCGCACCUCAGUUUCAGACUGGGUAGUACAGGGAUCUAAAUGAAACAUAGUAGUAGCAUACCAUGAUAAUUCGCGGUGUUCUACGGGAACGUUAGUAUGCUUAUCUCCCCCUAUUGAUGAGAAAACUGUCUUAUCAAAGUGACAAUCCGUAAAACGUGCGGUAAAAAGAUCUUUUGUCAAGGGUUCUAAGUAUCGAACAAUUGAUGGCGAAUCAUAACCGACAUAGAUUCCCAUUUUUCUCUGAGGACCCAUUUUGGUACGUAGCAGCGGCGUUAUUGGCACAUAAAUGGUGCACCCAAACACCCAUAAAUGCGAGACGUCAGGCUCGUAUCCAAUGACCAACUGUAACGGUGAAUGUGGUUGAGUAACGGUGGGCCUCAAAAGGACCAACAUAGCUGCAUGCAAUAUUGUAUAACCCCAAGCAGAUACCGGCAAUUUGGUUCUCAUAACCAAGGUCUGAGCGAUCAAUUAAAGGCGCUUUAUGAAAGCUUCUACCAUGCCGUUUUGGGUGUGAACAUGGGGUACGUGAUAUUUCACAUCAAUUCGUACUGACAUGCAAUAAUCGUAAAAAAUCUGUGAUGUAAACUCUUCAGCGUUAUCCAAUCGAAUCGACUUAAUUGGAUAAUCAGGGUGGUGAGCCCUUAGCUUAAUGAUUUGAGCUAAGAGUUUAGCAAACACGGUGUUGCAUAUGGACAAUAGGCAAACAUGUGACCAUUGUGUCGAUGCAUCAACCAACACCAUAAAGUAUCUAAAUGGUUCGCAGGUUGGUUAGAUACGUCCACAAAUGUUCCCUUGAAUCCUCUAAAGAAAUUUAGGGGGGUUGUGAAUAAUCUUUGUAUGGGAGGGUUGAGUAUUCAACUUCCUUAAAGAACACGCUUUGCAUGGCAGAACUCCGACAUAGGGAUGUAACUUAUGCCCUGUGAAGAUUUGAGGAUAUAGCGCAUCAUCACAUCCAGGAUGUCCUAAACGGUCAUGCCAACAAAGUGUCCUGGAACUCAGGCAUAGGGUCGGCCACACUGUGGGCUUCUAUGCCGUGAAUGGUUAUGAUAUACAAUCUACUCAGCAGACGUUCCAACUUCUCGUGAAUAUGCUUUUGGCCAUAUUCAUAUGAAGUGAUACAAAGAAAUCCAGAACAAUUAUCUUCAGUGGUUUCAAUAUGAUAUUGAUUAUCUCGAAUAUCUCUAAAAUUCAUCAACGUUCUUCCGAAACGUGGAGAAUAGAAUGUCUCCUUAAUGGUCAAAAUUGUACCAUUAGACAACAUGAUACGUGCCUUUCUUGGGUAUUAAGUUAGUAAAAUAGUGUCGUUCACGCAAGAUGGUGUGCGUGGUUGCACUAUCUGCUAUAUAACUAACUUCCCUACUAGACAUACCUAGAAAUAAAUUGAUUGAAUUGGUCACAUGUACAAAAUAUAAUUCCAUUCAUGUAAUUAAGUAAUUCGAGAAAAUAAUAUCCAUUUAAAUAACCAUCCAUAAUUCAAAACAAACCAAAACCAAACAAAUUAUUCCAAAUACUUAGAAAAAUUGUUCAAAAUUAAACCAUAAAUUUAGAAAAUAGGGGGUAGGGGCCGGCCAUUCCUAGUGGGUUCGGCCACUAGGGGUAAACACCCUAAAAACAUGGCUAAUUUAUUCAUCCAUAGGUGCUGACGUCUCCUGAAAAUCCGAUAUCUCCAUUGAUAUAGUUGCAUCUUCCGAAUGAUCCACAUGUGCAAAGUUAGACUCACGACGAGAAUGAUACUUGGCAAUAGCCUUAAGGGAAGCUCGGCAUACACGUGACCAAUGAUCCAUUGAUCCAAAGUGAUAGCACAUGUCCAGUUUAGUAGAACCAGGCUGAACGGGAUCUUUGCCUUUGUUCUUGAAGUUUGAGGCCUUAGGGGCGAGUGAUAGACGUUGCUGGGUCACAUUUCUUCCCUUAGGUGUGGCACUAUGUUGACCUUGGGCCCAUGGUUGGGUUUGCCGCCCAUUACCACGGCCAUGAUGAUGCUUUUGUCGUUUAUGGCUGCUAAAAUGGGUUGCAUGCUUUAGGUGCGACGUUUGAGCCAGUUGGUCGAGCUUGAUAAUUCUUCAUCAAAAACUGGUUCUGCUUUUCAGUGACAAGUAAAACAGAGAUCAAAUCCAAAAACUUGGUGAAUUUAUGUGCCCUAUAUUGUUGCUGCAUGACAAUAUUGGUGGCAUGGAAAGUUGAAUAGGUCUUCUCCAGGAGAUCUGAUUCGGUUAGUUCCACUUUGCAGAAUUUCAAUGAUGAACGGAUUCUACAAACUUCAGAGUUGUAUUCAUUCACGGACUUAAAGUCCUGGAAGCGAAGAUGCUACCAGUUGUGUCUUGCUUCAAGCAAGUAUAUGUCUUUCUGAUGAUCAAAACGGUCAGCCAGAGUAAGCCAGAAGGUGCGUGGGUCCUCCUCAACAAGAUACUCAGUCUGCAGUGCAUCAUGGAUGUGUCUUCGAAUGAAGAUCAUUGCAAUAGCCUUCUGAGCUUCGUCAAUAGGUUUGUCGGUGAUAGGUGUCUCGAUGGUGGCUCUAAUGCCCUUUACAGUUAGAUAGAGCUUCACGUCUUGAACCCACUUCAGAUAGUUUCUUCCAGAGACUUCUAUAUCAAAGAAAUCGAGCUUGUUCAAGUUCAACAUGUCCCUAAAACGAAGGGAAAAAAUGUGAUUAGUCAUAUGGUAAGCCAUAGACAUAUAUCGUAGAACAUACAGAUUCUAUAGACAUAUAUUGGUUUAAUUUAUGCAUGAAAAUAUAGGUUUCAUGUGGUAUGUUUUGAAUGAAAACUUUGGGUUUCAAAGGCACUAAAUUUGAAACUACAGGUUCAAUUCAGUUUUAUGAACAAUUAGUUCAUAAUGAGAGGUUCCUGCAAGAAACAUAGAAUGCAAUAUACUAAUUUAAAUAUAAUGGAUUUGAGGUUCUUCGCGAACUCAAGUGUGAGAGCUUCGUUACUACGAAAGUAUGUUAUAAUUCAAAGUAUAAAGAAUAAAUUAUUGAAUCGUUAAUGUCCAAAAGUGAUAUUCAGGUCAAUAAUUUUGGAUUCAUUAUCAGAUUAAUGGAUUGCAGAUCACUUUUAAUUAAUUCAAUAAAUCGAGCCAUACAGGGUCGAUUGUAGAAGCAAAAUAAUAUUAAAAUAAUAUUAUCGGAUCGAAAACAUAGCCCCAAAAAUAAUUAGGCUCGGGUUGGGUGCCUUGAGUAAUGGGCAGGGCACUAAAAGGACCUCGGGAGUGGACUGUAGGCCACGGGGGGUGGGAGAAACCCCAGUCGCAGCUGGGUUGCAUGUUUGGGCCAAUAGAGGGCACGGGUUAGGUCCAGAGAAAGCUGGCCUGUGGGUUUGGGCGUGCGAAGGCUAAGCCCAACCUUGUGAGUGGUUGGUGCGGGCCGUGGGAAAAAUCCCAGCCAACUGGGCUGGAUUGGAUGGCUACAGGUCAAGGCAACGAUUGGGUUUGGGGCUUCAAGCCCUGCCGAGGUUAAUUUCAGGCCGAGGCCUGGUUGUUGCUUCCACAGUGAUGGUGUGGUGGAUGUGCCGCACCAUGUCCAAUUCCUUUUUUUUUUUCGAAAAUCCCCUAGGUUUUAAGUGAUACAUCCCGACGAGAUCGAGGCAUGCUGGCCGUCACGUGAGGGUGACGUAGCCAUGUGCAUAGUGCGGAAGCAAUUAAGAUAAGAAAUAUACGAAUAAAUAAAAACCGAAAGCUACUAAUGUGCACUAAUAAAUAGGAAGUGCUAGGAGUGAGAUACAAGUGUAAAUACUCCUAAUCAGAGCAUAGAAAGUCUAGGUGCAGUCCAGUAGGACAAGUACUAAUUAUACAGCACCAGAAGAUGUCCUACAACUAAUUUAUUCUGUCAGAACCGCCGAGAACCUCAAUGCCACCAACAACAAACUUACUUAAAACCUGGAGGGGCGCAAAACAGAAAACGUGAGUGGGCAAAAACAAAUGUUUUCAAAAUCAUUUCAUUUCUCAAAAGUUCUAACCCCUCGCCGUAAAACAUGUCUAAUUUUCCCAUAAAUAGAAUAUAAACAUAAAUAUGUAUAUAUAUAUAUAUAUAUAUAUAUAUAUAUAUGUCAAUUCAUGCUUCAUAUAUUCAUAAUCAUAAGUAUGUCAUGCCAAGAUAAAAACAAAAUAAGUAACUCAGGUGAGAAUAAUUUCACGGAAAAUAACAUAUUAGCCGGAACCCUUGUAGAAGUCUGUACGGCUGAAUUUGUAGCUCAUUAGUCAAUCUAGCUGGAGUCACUACAAUGACCUAUACGGCACUACACUGCACACAAGUCGGAACCACUAAAAGGGUCUAUACGACAAGACUGGGUGUAAUAUAAUUAUGCUCAAUACGACGCUUUCAUGAUAGCUGUGCGAUAAAUCUCUAGUUACCUACGAUUCAGAACCACCUAUGAUGGUCUGUACGACAAGACUGUGCACCUAAAUUGGAUCCAAUGUGAGCAUAUGGAGCGGGAUGUGACAUUAUAUUCAGGCAUGUGCCAUAUCUCUGGCUAAUCACUAACACUGGGGUGCAGGUUUAUGAGCUAUAUGCUUCUCAAUUAAUCACAAACGUGAAUCACAUUCACAAUUCAUAAACUCACCUAGGGUUACCUGAGCGUCCACAGCACCACAAUUAUAUAUUAUGCAUAUAUGCAUGGCAUUUCAAAGCAUACUUUUAUUUAAAUGCAUUUUCUGGGAAAAUAUCAAGUAUAUAAGUAUAUACUGAAAACCAAAAGCCCAUUCACUGGUAUGUCGAAGGGUCGUAGCCCCCAAGUCGCCCUUGGCUGCACUCGUCCUCGGGAUAAGUCUCACCUAUACGCGAAAUAACUGAAUAAACAUUAAUUUAAAGCACAUAACCAAUACUAGCUAAUAACUUCUCAUACAUUGCUCAAAUGAGAUGUUUGAAUAUACCAACGUGAUCUACACAACCUCACGAACAUCCCUAUAUUUUUAGAAAAAUUUUCCGACGUCCCACGCGUCGACAAAGGCACAGCAACACGUGUGGCCACGCACAGGGACCUAACUUAAUCCCCUAACCCCGUUAGGAAUAUUCCGUCAUCCUCUACAUUCGAACUCCGGCAAUCGUCGUCAUCACCGGAAACUACAAAAUUUUCAAACCUUCAUUUCUCGUCCGUUUCUCAACCAAAUUGCAUGAAACUUAAACCAAUUUAAAGAUUAGUACGUGUAGAAUAUAACCAUACCUUUCAAAAGCCUUAAAACUCACGGAACUUGUCAGAAAAUUCCUCGAUAAUCCGACAAAACCUGCAACUCGUCGAAACUCAACUUUCCGACGUCUAAAUCACUUCAUUUUUCUUCUCCGAGCUUCAUGAGGAUGUUUUAAAGCUUCCUAUAAGCUUUAAAUCACCUGAAACAUCCAUAACUAUGACUAUGUGAACAGUGCUCUAAAUCGGGUUCUUUGGUUUUUCACAAUCCCGACGUUAAAACUAUUUCAAAACUACUCCAAAAUGUCAAGGGAGUUAGGAUAAUACCUUUUUGAGUCCUCAAACUUCCUAGAUCACCCACAAUCAUGAUCGAGUCACUAUUUACCUCGCGGAGCUUAUGAAAACUCAGGGUUCCCGACAUCCUUUCUUGAGAACAAAGGUAUCUCCCGACUCAAGAGAACGCAAGGGACAAGGUGAUGAUCUUAGAUGGUUUGAUCUGUGAGGUUUUGAUGUGGUUUGAGGGAUUGUCCGUACAAUUGUACGGACAAUGGAGGAAUUAUGAGAGGAAUGAAAGAGUACACGGGAAGGAGAGAGAAAAGGUUGGAGUGUGUGUGCGGUCCAAAAUUGUUGACUUCUAAUCCACUACAAACCACAACAACUUUGAGUCCUAAUUGGUUCCAAAUUAUUAGGGGCUUAAUGCAUUAGUCCACUUCCAAACUUAAACCACACCACCACACAAAACGUCCAAGGGCAAUUUUGUCUUUUCACACCAUCGAUAGUAAUAAUUCGGGAUGGGCUGUGACAUUAAGAAACCCUAAAUAUGCUUCUAAUUUAAUUUUAUACAUUGACUCACAUAUUCCACAUAACAAUUUAAUUGUGCGAUGCAUAAAACAAAUAUAUAUAUAUAUUGACAAAUAUAUGAACAUAUACAAUAUAUAUAUCGUAAGGAAAAUAUAAACAUAAAGGGGUUCAUGCAUCAUGGGGAAUGUUUUCAUGCUUCGUGGACUUUUCAAAUAUCUUCUUUUAUUUUAAGCGUACCUGAUUAGCAGAAAACGAAUAAGCCUUUGAAUUUUUGUGGAAGAUCGCCUCCUCCUACGAUACGUCAAUUCCUCAGCAUCUGGCAAGAGCGUGCUGAUAACGUGUUGUAGGCCUAUUUGAUUGAAUGAUCUAGGGUUUAGAGAGAGAGGGGGCCGGCUACACUUAGAGAGAAGAGAGAUUGAUUUAAUUGUGAGGUGUGUUUGAUUCACCCCAUUGUGCCUUUAUUUAUAGUAGUAGGAUAGGUAAAAACCUUUCCCUUCAGGAUUACAACAUUUAAUAGGUAAUCAACUCCUAAUAGGAAUAUAAGAUACAUUCUCAUAUCUACUAGAAUUUACACAAUCACAUUCCUGUUCUAAAUAUGACUGCAACAAGAACCAAUAUACCAUUUUAGCAAAGUGGAAGUAGCAAGUGAAAAGAAACUUUAUCCACACUCAAAUUAAAUGACCCGUCACCAUUAUAUACACUAAUAUCUCUCUAAAGUUAUAUAGUUGGGAUCAAACCAAUUUUAUUACUUGAGGGAGGUUAGUACUUAAUAGAGAUGUAGUUAAAGGAUAUUAUUAAUUGACUUACAUAUCCUUAAUGAAUGUUGCAUUUCCUAAAUAAGAUUAAUUGGGCGUUAAGUAUUUUAUUUCUUGUAUAUUUUUGUACUCAUUGACAAUUAUAACUAUGUGGAGGCAUGUUUUCUUAUAAUGGAACCAAGAAAAAUUACAACUUAUUACAAUAUAGAGUUUAUUCCAAUACAUAACUGAAAUAUUAUUUAUUUACUUAUCUAUCCUUAAUGAAUGUAGUAUUUUCUAAAUAGGGUUCUUUGGGCGAUAAAUAUUUUUUGCUUACAUAUUUUUGUACUCAUUGACAAUUAUAAUUAUUUGAAGACGUGUUUUCUUAAGAUGGGACCAAGAAAAACCAAUAUAUAACCGUUCCCAAGUUAGGACUGAAAUUUUUAAGAAUUUAAGAAGGUUAUUCUAUUAUAAGCAUUGUCCUUAUACAUUAUGGGCCAAUUAUCUACCUCCGUGAAUAAAAUUAGUAUUGAGAUUUUACUGUAAAAGCAUGAGGACGAAAGGGGGAGACGUGUGGGAGAGCUGUGGAGGUUGGAGAAAUAGAAAAUUGAGCAAAUGGAUGGGAUGAGAGGCUGGGAGAGAGAUCGGGAGGAAGGGGUUGAGUUUUAUUAUAGCUAGGGAACCUUCUUGAACUCUUUUUUAUAGACACAUUUUAUUAUAAAAUUAAACUUCAUUAAUUAGCAUGAAAAAUUAUUUAUUUUAAACGAGAGCAGUUUAGUAAUAAAGUUAGUUUUAAUUUUGAUUCAAGCAACUAGUAAGCAAUUUGUAUAACAUUAAUUCUACUCCGAUUCUAAAUAGUGUAGUAAACAACUUUAAAGAGAAUUUAAUUUUGUUUCCUCCUCAAUCUAAUUCCGGAUUACUAAAUGAGUCAAAUUAGUAAUUGAUGUAUAUAUAUGACGGAUGUAGAUGACAUUUAUUUUAUGUAGUGUGGCGGAUGUAGAUGACAUUCAUUUUAAAUUGAUGUUUAUAUAUAACGGCUAUUAUUGUACAUUGGCAGAUAUUAUGUUUGUUAUGGUGGAUAAUUAUUAGUUUUGGUUUUUUAUUUUUAGUCAAAACAUAAUUUUAGUUUUUAUAUUUAUUUUUUAUUAUUAAGUGAUUUGUGGCAGUAUAUAUGACAGUUUUUUAUAUUGGCUAUGGACGACAUGAUUGUCUCUGUAUGGGCGGGAUUACUUAGCCAUUAAUGUCACCUGCAUUAGACGGGAUUGCUCAGCCAUUACUGUCAUUUCGGCCGACACUAAAUGUCUUCUAAUUGCUCUUAUUUUAAUUUAAUGUAGUUUCCUUUUUCUUGGCAGAUUAAGAGUACUAUCCGACAUGGAAAGCUUUUUUGUGACGAUAACAUUCCUAUUGCUUCUCUUAAAAGACAUAGCAUCUCUUUUUUUUGUCGAAUUUUACAUAAUAUUCGAUAAAAUUAAGUAUUUUCUUGUCAUUUUUGGAACGUCAAUAAUGUUUUGUUAUGUUAGUAGUGAAACUUCAUUUUCAGCAUAUAUAUUCUGGUAGAUAUAUAUGGGUGCAUGCGUUCUGAUUAUAUGUCUUUCUUUUUCCCGAUUAUCCUAGUUAGGUAAACAAGCAUAUAUAGCAUCCCAUUGAAUCCCGGAUCCUUUGUUUGGGUCGGCAACAACCAGGAGGCCAACCAAGCUUUUUGGUCCAUGCAGCAAUCAUGAAUUAGUGGAAUGGAGAGGGUUCGGUGGGUAAUGGUGACCAAUGCAAUUUCAAGACUUCAGUUUAAUUUGUUUUUGGUGUUUUUCCGAAGAAGGUAUACCUUUCUGUUUUGGAUGGCAAAGUUAAUUAAUUUAUGUUUAAUUUGAUACGACUUUUAUGCUGGCCUUUUUUUUUUUUUUUUGGCCCCUUUAGUAAUUCGUGUGUGCAGUCCUUCAAUUUCAAUAUUUCCCCCUUUUUGAUUUAGUCUUACCACCCAAACUCCCUCUUAAAAUGAUUACUUUUUUCAUGUUUUUUUGUAGAGACUCAAUAAGGAGUAGUUUCAAAUUAUUGUAUUCAGUGAGUAAUUUCAAGUUAUUGUAUCUAGUUGACUAUUCUGCUACCUUUUUUUUUAUUUUUUUUUUUAUGCAAAUGGUAUUUUUUAUUUUUGAGUAUAAUGAUAUGUUUUAUAUUAAGAAAAUGGCAAGUUUGACCAAGUCACACAAUGGGCAAUACCUAAUUUAGUAGUUAAUUCGUCAUCUACGAGAUUCGAACUUAAAACAUCUCACUUACAAAUAAAAAGAAAUACCAUCAAACCGCCUUAUUGAGUGGAGAAGAAGAAAAAUCAUAUUUCAGAUCAUGGAUGAAAAGAAUAAAUGUUGUUAAUUACUUUUGUUCGUGUUUGUUAUUCUUGAUAACACAUAAAAUGGCCAGCUUUAGGAUUUGAAAUUGCAACCUAGCUUAAUAUUUAGGGAACUUUAACGGAAAGUACCUGGUACUGUUCACUUUAACGAAAAACCACAUUUUUACACUAAAGAGUCAAUUCUGGUACUAUUCACUUUACCCUUUAUUUUGUCAUUAUCAUUAAAACUCAAAAUUUUCAAACCCUUUUCAUUAGUUUUCCUUAAUAUUUAUAAUCGUCGCCCGAUGAAAUUACAAAAUCUGUCCAAAUUAUAAGGUCCAAGUCCGACCGUACCAGAUUGUGAUUUUGACUUUCUUUGUUUCGGUGGAAAUCUCAGACACACUAACUGGUCAAAGAAAGUGGCCCACUUGAUAACUAGUUGGCCCCAUCAUGAAGAACUUGUACCUUAUGAACAAAAAAAACCAAUGAAAAAAGAACUUGCACCUCAAACAGUAGGUUAGGAGAGCAAUUUGUGCAAAAGGAAUUUUAUCGUUUCGUAGCGUUUUUAUUUGAUAAUACAAUAAUGUAAAGUAUAUUUACAUAAUAUUAUAUUAUUGAAUUGUAAUGAGUAGUAAUAACCAACCAGUGUCAAUUUUUUUUUAAAGAUUUUUCAAUGUAUCUUGUAUAUAAAACAUAAGUUAUAUAUCUUUAUAUAAAUGAAGCAGUUGAAAAAAAAAAAAUUUCUUAUACUUACAUAAUAACAUGACAUACAACUCGGUGUUCAGAAGACAUUGUAAACUCUCUUUUUUCCUGGGCCCCACUUAAUAUCUCCUUAAGACUUCAUGUGGUAGCUUACCUGCCCUUGAGUCCUCUCGCAUUAUUUAACCUUUUGCAAACCCAAAGAUAUCCCCACACAAACCCAACAACCUCCUCAAUUAGACAUCGACUUCUUCUUCCCUAGAAAACAAAAAAUGGCAAACGCAGCCGUGACUGUGAUGCUCAUGCUCAUCAUGGCCGUCGUAGCUGAAACCACCGAAGGAGCUCAGAGCAGCUCCACACAACCCAAGUGGGCCAAGAAGCUCAAGACAAGGAAGAAAACGACGUCGGAGACAGUGACCAACCUCCAAUUCUACUUCCACGACACAGUCAGUGGGAAGAACCCAAGUGCCGUCCGUGUAGCGCAAGCCCCAGAGACCGAGAAGUCCCUCACCCUUUUCGGAGCUCUGCUCAUGGCAGACGACCCGCUAACCGAAACGCCUGACCCGAAGUCCAAGCUCGUGGGCCGGGCGCAGGGGAUGUACGGGUCAUCCGGGCAGCAAGAGUUUGGGCUUACU
rnacentral:lncRNA from 1 species